ACGGAAGGCAGCAGUGGGGAAUUUUGCACAAUGGGGGAAACCCUGAUGCAGCGACGCCGCGUGAGCGAAGAAGUAUUUCGGUAUGUAAAGCUCUAUCAGCAGGGAAGAAAAUGACGGUACCUGACUAAGAAGCCCCGGCUAACUACGUGCCAGCAGCCGCGGUAAUACGUAGGGGGCAAGCGUUAUCCGGAUUUACUGGGUGUAAAGGGAGCGUAGACGGCAAGGUAAGUCUGAAGUGAAAUGCCGGGGCUCAACCCCGGAACUGCUUUGGAAACUAUCUCGCUCGAGUACCGGAGGGGUAAGCGGAAUUCCUAGUGUAGCGGUGAAAUGCGUAGAUAUUAGGAGGAACACCAGUGGCGAAGGCGGCUUGCUGGACGGUAACUGACGUUGAGGCUCGAAAGCGUGGGGAGCAAACAGGAUUAGAUACCCUGGUA
rnacentral:rRNA from 1 species